rnacentral:rRNA from 1 species
UACGUAGGGUGCGAGCGUUAAUCGGAAUUACUGGGCGUAAAGCGUGCGCAGGCGGUUUUGUAAGUCUGUCGUGAAAGCCCCGGGCUCAACCUGGGAAUUGCGAUGGAGACUGCAAGGCUUGAAUCUGGCAGAGGGGGGUAGAAUUCCACGUGUAGCAGUGAAAUGCGUAGAGAUGUGGAGGAAUACCGAUGGCGAAGGCAGCCCCCUGGGAUAACACUGACGCUCAUGCACGAAAGCGUGGGGAGCAAACAGG